CUAGAUAAGAAGAAAUGGAGCCUAAGCAUCCAAGAAAUCCUCUCCAGAGAGUGAAAUUAGGUCUGGCCGCCCCCUUCUGUCAAAAGAAUACAUUUAAACUCGCACUAGGGCUAUUUAUAAGUGAGGAGUGCAACAGAAAACAGGCCCAAGCCCAAUAGACAACCGCCCGACGUCACACUUGUUCCGCCCGGCGGUUUCCCUCAAACCGCGCUACCGCCCGGCGGCAGGGGUCUACCGCCCGACGGUUUGCCUCUAAU
rnacentral:lncRNA from 1 species